CACGUAGGGCGCAAGCGUUGUCCGGAAUUAUUGGGCGUAAAGAGCUCGUAGGCGGUCUGUUGCGUCCGCUGUGAAAACUCGGGGCUUAACCCCGAGCCUGCAGUGGAUACGGGCAGACUAGAGGUAGGUAGGGGAGAAUGGAAUUCCCGGUGUAGCGGUGAAAUGCGCAGAUAUCGGGAGGAACACCGGUGGCGAAGGCGGUUCUCUGGGCCUUACCUGACGCUGAGGAGCGAAAGCGUGGGGAGCGAACAGGAUUGAGAUACCCGUUGUA
rnacentral:rRNA from 1 species